rnacentral:lncRNA from 1 species
AAAUUCCUCCAGGUGCCACCUCCUCCAUGCCUUUGCCAGGUUCUGCAGUUCCUAAAGGCAUCACCUCAAUGUCUUCAUCAGGUUCUUUGAUUGUUGGAGAUGCCACCUCCUCCAUGCCUUGAUCGGGUUCUACAAUUUUUGGAGGUGCCGCAUCCUCCAUGCCUUCAUCAGGUUCUACAAUUUUUGGAGGUGCCGCAUCCUCCAUGCCUUCAUCAGGUUCUACGAUUUUUGGAGGUGCCACAUCCUCCAUGCCUACAUCAGGUUCAAUAAUUACUGGAGGUGCCCCCACAUUACCAGGUUCUAUACUUGCUGGAGAUGUCACGCCAAUGCCACCAGCUAGCUCCUGUCUCAAUGGUAACU